UGGAGGAGGAGGAGGGCACUGUUGGAGAGGUGGAGGAGGUGUGUGAGCCUGGGUGGUGGCAGUGUUGGGGGGGCUCUCAAUGUGUGCCUCUGAAUGCCACCUGUAGCGGCGUGCCCCAGUGUGCUGAUGGUUCCGACGAGUUACAAGAGAUGUGUGGUUGUCUCCCAGGCGAGUACAGCUGCCCGGACCAGUGUAUUGAUCAACUCAAGAGAGUCAUACACUUGCGCCGAUACGCAUUACAAGUGUGAUAAUGGGUUCUGUGUGCCCAGGGAUGUGCUGUGUGAUUUUGACGAUGACUGCGGUGACAGUUCCGACGAGCAUUAUUGUCUGUACAGGAAGUGUUACGAAGAGGAGUUUACGUGUGGCAACGGAGAGUGUGUGUUCCCAGGCUUCGUGUGUGACGGUGAACCUAAAUGUAGUGAUGGUAGCGACGAGACACAUUGCCAACCAGAGGACUUUGCAGUGUGUAAAUCAGGGCGGCUGGUACACAGACAUUUCUGGUGUGACGGCUCGGCAGACUGUGCUGACAACCACGCUGACGAACUCCACUGUGGGGAGUGUAGAGAAGACCAGUUUCUCUGCCCCAAUGGCCGUUGUAUACUGCAGGGGAAUGUGUGUGACGCCCAAUGUGACUGUCUCGAUUGUGCUGACGAGCGUAACUGCAGUCGCUUUUAUACCACGAGGUCUGGUGUGGCGGUGUGUCAGUUGGGCCAAUCAAUCAGGUGUGGUAUUCUGACAGGUGAUCGCCAAGAGGAGAGGUGUGUGGCAGCUGAGUAUGUGUGUGACGGCAUCGACCACUGUCACAUAGGGAAGAAGAGAUUAUCAGAUGAGCUGGAGUGUUGGCAUAUGAGCAAACCAUGUCUGCCGCCAGAGGGAGAGGUCGAACCCUGGGUCCAGUGUUCAGACGGCCGCUGUGUUCCCAAGUCUCUCCUCUGUAAUAGGGAAGGCGCGUGUCCCAACGGCCAGGACGCCAACGGGUGCCCGGUUAUGACGUGUAAGGAAGGAGAGUGGCAGUGUUUCAGUGGUCAAUGUAUUCCUCUGCAACACCACUGUGACGGUAAAUUCUAUCACUGCAAUGAUUCAUCGGACGAGCGUAACUGCAGAAAGGUGAAUGAGAAGUGUACGUCAGAUUGGCGUCCGUGUUCAGAUGGUCGGUGUAUUCCGGGAGCCUUCUUUUGUGACGAGAAGGUCGACUGUCUUAACGGUGAAGACGAGGACAACUGCACGGCGACCGUGGAGUGCGGGGAGGGGGAGUGGCAGUGUUCCAGUGGUGGGCAGUGUGUCAAUGUGUCCUACCGAUGUGAUUUAUAUUUCGAUUGUAAUGAUACGUCGGAUGAGCUUCUUUGCAGUGAUCAUGAGUGUGACCAAGACCAUAUGAAAUGUCAUUCGGGCCAGUGUGUUCGUCGGGACUACUGGUGUGACUAUGUUGUGGACUGUUUUGAUAAGUCAGACGAGAUGUACUGUGAGAUCAACAUAGGCUGUGAGGAGGGGCAGUUUCAGUGUGCUAGUGGCCAGUGUAUACCUAGUGAGGACCGGUGUGUCGUGCACCAGGGGACCACAAGAAGAGGGUGUGGCGACGGAUCCCAUUUGCUGAACUGUAAAGGAUCAAACGGAACAACUUGUGGUGAAGACAUGCACCGAUGUUUAUCCGGCCCUUGUAUACAUCAUUCGGAUAUCUGUAAUGAAAAGAUCAAUUGUCCAAACACCUGGGAUGACGAAAGCAACUGCAUAUUCUCCUGCUCCAAAAAUGCUGCCAAGUGCCGAUGUUUUAACGUAGAAGCCAACUGUUCCAGCCUUGACCUCCAGGAGUUCCCAGACACAGAGGAACAAAUAAACAUCUUUAUCUUCGCCGACAACUACUUGAACGUCACCCUCGAAGCAAAGCCGAUACGUCAAAACAUGAGUCGAGCCAUCCACCUUGAUCUAUCGAGGAACCACAUCGCUCACCUGAGGAACGACGUGUUUGCUCACCUGUGGAGAUUGAAGAUUCUUGACCUACGCGAUAACCACCUCACUAACCUCACGGCCAAUGCCUUUAAUGGCCUUCUCAACCUUAGGUCAUUACAUCUAAGUGGAAACAGCAUCACAUCCCUAGCCUCUCAUGCCUUCUAUGGUCUGACAUCCCUCGCUACGCUGGAUCUCAGCUACCAAGGAUUGACUCAUAUCUCAUCUAACGCGUUCCUUGGUCUUCGUAAACUGGCCACACUGUCUCUCUCACAUAACAAACUCGGUCACCUGCAUCAUAAAUUCUUCAGUGGUCUUCAAAACCUCAAAAAACUAGACGUCAGCCACAACUCCAUCGUCACCGUCAACUACAACACGUUUCAACACAUCCCCAAACUCAAGUUUCUAGUGUUAGACGAGUUCCGACAGUGCUGCCAGGUAAGACACAUAGCCAGAUGUGUACCAGAGGCGGACGAAUUCUCUACCUGUGAGGACCUGAUGUCUAACCUGGUACUGAGAGUGUCCAUCUGGGUCCUCGGUCUGGUAGCGCUCUUCGGCAACACCUUCGUCAUCAUCUGGAGGAGCGCCUUUAGUAGCUUCAACAAGCUAAACUCGUUCCUGAUAGUUAACCUGGCCCUAGGUGACCUCCUGAUGGGGUUUUACCUGAUAGUGGUAGGGGGCGUGGACCUACACUACCGUGGGGUAUACGCUGAGCACCAACUCUUCUGGAGGACUUCUUGGCUCUGUCAGAUGGCCGGCUUCCUCAGUACCUUCUCCUCCGAGCUCUCAGUGUUCACGCUUACGGUCAUCACCGUUGAACGCCUGAGAAUCAUUAUGCAUCCCAGUCACAACAAAAGCACAAAGCCAACGAAACUGGUGAUGGCUGGGGUAUGGAUUGUGGUGGGUGUGUUGGCUACCUUACCGCUCGUCAACCGAGAGUACUUCAAUAAUUUCUACGGGCGUUCGGGAGUCUGUCUGGCGUUGCACAUCACCCAAGAGAAGCCGAGUGGAUGGGAGUAUUCAGUCUUCAUCUUCUUGGGUCUGAAUUUCGUAUCCUUCGGGGUGAUUGCUGUCAGUUACGUGUUAAUGUACUUCGCGGUUCGUAAGACACGCAUGGAGGCGGCGAGGAUCAGUCGAAGGGAGGAUGAGAAUUUGGCCAAAAGAAUGACCCUGAUAGUGGCCACAGACGCUGCCUGCUGGUUACCCAUCAUUAUAUUGGGGGUUGUUUCCCUGUAUGGCGUCGAUGUCCCACCCAAGUAUUCAUCCUGCCUCUCAACGCUGCUGUCAACCCAGUGCUGUACACCCUCUCCACGUCCCCCGUGAGGAAGAAACUCGGUACCAUCCGUCAGAGUUUGAGUAGCCGUAACUCCGGGUCGGCCACAGGUAUCCCACUACCGCCGAUAAAGAGACCGAGGGAGUCGACCUUGAGUUCAGACGUGGUCAAAACAAGCGAUAAGGGAACAGCUGUGAACACCAAGGAUACAGUGUGUGUGUACAAACCCGGUACAGCACAUACA
rnacentral:misc_RNA from 1 species